AGCUCCAAUAGCGUAUAUUUAAGUUGUUGCAGUUAAAAAGCUCGUAGUUGGAUCUUGGGUCGUAAAGGUCGGUCCGCCUACUCGGUGUGCACCUGCCCUUCCGUCCCUUUUGUCGGCGGCGUGCUCCUGGCCUUAACUGGCUGGGUCGCGGCUCCGGCGCUGUUACUUUGAAAAAAUUAGAGUGCUCAAAGCAAGCUUAUGCUCUGAAUACAUUAGCAUGGAAUAACGUGAUAGGAGUCUGGUCCUAUUGUGUUGGCCUUCGGGACCGGAGUAAUGAUUAAUAGGGACUGUCGGGGGCAUUCGUAUUUCAUUGUCAGAGGUGAAAUUCUUGGAUUUAUGAAAGACGGACCACUGCGAAAGCAUUUGCCAAGGAUGUUUUCAUUAAUCAAGAACGAAAGUA
rnacentral:rRNA from 1 species